UUCAUCACAAAAUUACAACAGAAGCUUGCUGCCCAUAACACUCCAAUUCUCUCUCUCUCACUCGCCAGUCCUGCGGUAUUUGCAGGACUUGGUUUCUUCUUCGUUUUCUUCAAUUUCUCUCUAUAAAUCCUUGCAUGCAAAUCUUGAUUCAUGUUCUAUACAUAAAGGUGCAUACUAGGAAGGUAAAGGUUCGAGCUUUAAGAGUCGAGAAGUUUAAGAAGAAAGGUCAUUUCCUUCAACCAAAGAAACAGAUAAAAAAGAAGCAAGAAUCAUCCCUUGAGGAGAAGUAGAAGUCGGAUUAUUGCUGUUAGAAGUGAAGACUUUUGUGCAGGAAAUAGCAAGCUAAGGUAGUCCGAUGGAAGAGCUAUUGUGAAGUCAUGUCUCGACUAUCAUAGUGGAUUCAAGCUUGAACAUGAUCAUAUUUUGCGGAUUACUUCUGUUUUAUAAAGAAUGUUUGAAUUUACAUUAUAAUCUUAUUUUGGGCCUGUAAUAACUAACUUAUUUUGCAUGUGAUGAAUGUUUUAUUUUAAGAUUAGCUCGCAGAGUCAAUUCAGCCUUAUAAAUGGGUUGACUCCAACAAGUGACAGCCUCUGUAACAUUUUAUUAUGAUUUUUGCUUCCGCUAAUGCUAGAAAGUGUGGUUUUAAUUAAUAUUUAAUAUAAGCCAGGACGGGGGCUGUUACAUAAUCCCUCAAGUUUUCAGAGUCUCCUUGCUUGAUGGACAUUAACUCGCCGGUAAUUUUCUCCCUACGUUUGUUACUGACGAAGUGAGUAACAAACAUAGAUGUUAGCUGGCGGAAGUCGAAAACAGUUGUCGGCG